rnacentral:tRNA from 1 species
GGGGAUGUGGCUCAAGUAGUAGAGCGCUUGCCUGGCAUGCAUGAGGCACUGGGUUCGAUCCUCAGCACCA